UGGGGGAUAUUGCACAAUUGGCGAAAGCCUGAUGCAGCGACGCCGCGUGGGGGAUGAAGGCCUUCGGGUUGUAAACUUCUUUUUCUCUGAACAAGGUAUGCCUUUGGUGUGUGUAGAGUGUAGGGGUUGAUUAGCGCCGGCUAACUACGUGCCAGCAGCCGCGGUAAUACGUAGGUCGCUAGCGUUGUCCGGAAUUAUUGGGGGUAAAGGGCUUGUAGGUGGCUGGUUGCGUCUGUCGUGAAAGCUCAUGGUUUAACUGUGGGUUUGCGGUGGAUACGGGCUGGCUUGAGUGCAGUAGGGGAGGCUGGAAUUCCUGGUGUAGCGGUGGAAUGCGCAGAUAUCAGGAGGAAUACCGGUGGCGAAGGCGGUUCUCUGGGCUGUUACUGACGCUGAGGAGCGAAAGCGUGGGGAGCGAACAGG
rnacentral:rRNA from 1 species